rnacentral:rRNA from 1 species
AGUGAACGCUGGCGGCAGGCCUAACACAUGCAAGUCGAACGGCAGCACGGCAGUAGCAAUACUGUGGGUGGCGAGUGGCGGACGGGUGAGGAAUACAUCGGGAUCUACCCUGUUGUGGGGGAUAACGUAGGGAAACUUACGCUAAUACCGCAUAAGAACUGAGGUUGAAAGCGGCGGACCGCAAGGCGUCGCGCGAUUGGAUGAACCGAUGUCCGAUUAGCUAGUUGGCGGGGUAAAGGCCCACCAAGGCGACGAUCGGUAGCUGGUCUGAGAGGACGACCAGCCACACUGGAACUGAGACACGGUCCAGACUCCUACGGGAGGCAGCAGUGGGGAAUAUUGGACAAUGGGCGCAAGCCUGAUCCAGCCAUGCCGCGUGGGUGAAGAAGGCCUCGGUUG